rnacentral:rRNA from 1 species
UACGUAGGGUGCGAGCGUUAAUCGGAAUUAUUGGGCGUAAAGCGCGCGCAGGCGGUGAUUUAAGUCUGAUGUGAAAGCCCACGGCUCAACCGUGGAGGGUCAUUGGAAACUGGGUCACUUGAGUGCAGGAGAGGGGAGUGGAAUUCCACGUGUAGCGGUGAAAUGCGUAGAUAUGUGGAGGAACACCAGUGGCGAAGGCGACUCUCUGGCCUGUAACUGACGCUGAGGCGCGAAAGCGUGGGGAGCAAACAGG